UACGGAGGGUGCAAGCGUUGUCCGGAUUUAUUGGGUUUAAAGGGUGCGCAGGCGGCGCGUUAAGUCAGUGGUGAAAUCCCGCAGCUCAACUGUGGAACUGCCAUUGAUACUGGCGUGCUUGAGUACGGACGAGGUAGGCGGAAUUUAUGGUGUAGCGGUGAAAUGCAUAGAUACCAUAAAGAACACCGAUAGCGAAGGCAGCUUACUAGACCGUAACUGACGCUCAUGCACGAAAGCGUGGGGAUCGAACAGG
rnacentral:rRNA from 1 species